rnacentral:rRNA from 1 species
CCCUUAGAUGUUCUGGGCUGCACGCGUGCUACACUGAUUCCUUCAACAAGUGUUUUAACUGGAGAGUUCGCGUAAUCCUGAAAUGUUAUCGUGAUGGGAGUAGAGUAUUGUAUUUGUUAAUCUUUAACGAGGAAUUCCUAGUAAGUGUAGGUUUAUAAGUUGUUCUGAUUACGUCCCUGCCCUUUGUACACACCGCCCGUCGCUCCUACCGAUUGAGUGGUCCGGUGAGGCUUUGGGAUCUGAGCGGAAAGAGCGUUUCGCUGUUUCUGCUCGGAAAACUCAGUCGAACCUUAUCAUUUAGAGGAAGGAGAAGUCGUAACA